GUCCUCAGUGCUGGCACAAUACAGAAAACCGCUCUACACGGAGGGAGCUCACUUCAAACAACGAAACUCCUCAACCGCGGUGACACGCAGGAUGCAUGUGGACCAGCUACAUCAGAGUGCAGUCAAAAUAGCAGAAGUUGUUAGUGUGAAAAAUGCUUAAGCUAGCUGAGGCCUCAGCAGUUUGCUUUUGCCUGAGCCUACUGAGAAGGUUUUCUUAUGCCGCAGUGCACAGGAGAGAGUAUGAACAAAAAUUCCCAGGACAGCUACAGUAGGGAAGAGGGCUCGUUGUGUGAGUUCACAGAUGACCAUAUGAAGAAACACAGUUAUAGUGGCCACGGAGCACCUGGGAAGUGCAUGCGGAGCCCUAAGAGCUCCUUGGAGCAAAGGCUGAGAACUGCUGCUCUAACAGAAUGACUGUAUAUUGCUACAGGGAAAGGUUUUAUCUGAUCUCAUUUGCAAGGCGAAUGGUAGAAGCAACUCAUUUGGAGAUGUGUUACACUUAAUCUGCAUGUCCCUUCUUUAUGCUUCCAUAGCUGACAAAAAAUCUCUUGAUGCUAUCCAGGGGUAGGCAACCUUUUUGAGCCAGGGGCCG